UGUUCUGUGGCUUAAUUGGUAAAAGCGCUGGACUACCGAUACGGAGUUGUGAGUUUGAAUCUCACCAAAACAA
rfam:Aedes albopictus isolate Foshan contig26810, whole genome shotgun sequence.